UGCUACCUGUGAUAAACGUGUCAAAACAUAAAAGAUAACGUCAAGUACAGGUCAUGCGAUUACAUUCUCGAAGGAUGCGCCCCCUCACUUUGAGGUGAUGACCAUUUUUUAAUUUUGAUCUCCUUUUUUAAUGACAUGCUUGAUCCGCCCAUUAACCUGGUUCGAGGAAAUGAGGGACGAGUGGAUAAAAGAAGUCUGAAGUUUGUUUUCAAUCAUUUCGGAGAGAAACAGUCGACGACGGGAAGACUUCACCCUGUUUGAAAAAUCAUCACUAAAUUAUCAAUAUAGUGGCGGUACAGAAAGACCAGACAGACCUGCUCAGAGAAGAUGAAGUUGACAAUUUGUUUGAUCAUAUCGGCGUUUCUUUUCACGCAUACCGUCGGGGCAUUCCGAGAGUUCAGGCACGACAUCCACGACCACGGAGGAUACGGUUGGACCGUCGAGCAUCUUUCCAUCGGUUUUUUUUUCCUCGAUUGUAACGUCCCGCCCGCUUACCGAGGUUUAAAAUAUAAAAAGGGGAAGCGAGACGUUCGCCUCGGGAAAAAGGUAUUGAAUCAUUCCAUGGUGUACUUCAGAGGAAAGACCUAUGAGUUCGGUGCCAAUAGUCUGGUCCUACACGAAGGAGGAAUAGGAAGAACCAACCCUCACAGCUGCCCUACAGUGAAACGUUCCUGGGCUGGACGCAGCCGUUGCACAGAGGAACAGGCGACAGAUCUGGCGGAGUGGUAUCAUCGGAACCAUAAUUACAAUUUAAUCACUCAAAACUGUCAUAAUUUCGCUGAGUGGCUAAUCAAUAGACUUUUGAACAAUGCUUGUACCAGGUAAUGAGUGACGUGUUAAUGAGAGUUUGUAUUAUGACUAUGAGAUUCGAGAGCCAAUUACCAUGAAAACCGUGAGGGAAGAGUACAAUUGAAUAUAUUACGUGUAUGUGAGAAAACAAGCAAAGGAAGAAAAGAUGGAAACAGUAUCUACAUAUGAAUCCGAAGUAAAAUACAAUAAUUAACUGUUUAAAUAGGAAAAAGAAUACGUGUGACAUAACAAAAAAGAAGAAAAAACACAGAAAUAUUCAAAUUGGCUUAAAUGGUUUUCCUCCCUUAACUUUCUUUGCAUCUGCAACAAUGCUUUUAUGUACCAAAACCCUCGUUCUUGUACAGAGUGAAACGAUGCAAGAAAAAAGAAACAACGACGAUAAUAUCAUUAA